rnacentral:misc_RNA from 1 species
UUGAUUUUUUAAUAAGACUCAGACAAUAAAGUAAAGAGUUUAAAUCCUUCGGCGGGAACUCGCCCGCAAAGCCGACGGUCUUGUUAAGAACGUCCCGCCGAAGCAACAGGUCAAUUCACAAAGGGUGGGAGUUCUACUGUUAGGUAGAUAACUCGAUAAUGAUCCUUCCGCAGGUUCACCUACGGAAA